rnacentral:tRNA from 1 species
UGCUGAAGGGAUGGUGGAAUAUAUUGCCCAACAGCAAAGGGUAUUUGAUAUUCCAAGCCAAUGUAUUUGUUUUGAA